rnacentral:rRNA from 1 species
AUUGAACGCUGGCGGCAGGCCUAACACAUGCAAGUCGAGCGGUAGAGAGGUGCUUGCAUCUCUUGAGAGCGGCGGACGGGUGAGUAAUGCCUAGGAAUCUGCCUAGUGGUGGGGGAUAACGUUCGGAAACGGACGCUAAUACCGCAUACGUCCUACGGGAGAAAGCGGGGGAUCUUCGGACCUCGCGCCAUUAGAUGAGCCUAGGUCGGAUUAGCUAGUUGGUGAGGUAAUGGCUCACCAAGGCGACGAUCCGUAACUGGUCUGAGAGGAUGAUCAGUCACACUGGAACUGAGACACGGUCCAGACUCCUACGGGAGGCAGCAGUGGGGGAAUAUUGGACAAUGGGCGAAAGACCUGAUCCAGCCAUGCCGCGUGUGUGAAGAAGGUCUUCGGAUUGUAAAGACACUUUAAGUUGGGAGGAAGGGUAGUAACCUAAUACGUUGCUACUUUGACGUUACGACAGAAUAAGCACCGGCUAACUUACGUG